rnacentral:lncRNA from 1 species
GGUGGUGUUGGUUCUAGAGAAGAGCAGACUGAGAAAGCCAUGUGGAGCAAGCCAGUAAACAGCACUCCUCCACAGCCUCUGCAUCAGCUCCUGCUCCAGGUUCCUGCCUCAUGUUUGGCUGAAAGUGGAUAAAGCUCUAUUGUAAGAGACCCCGUGGGGUAGAAAGCAGGAAGAGCUGUGUAGUUUGAAGCAACAAGCCAGAAAGACAUAUCCUAUGUUCCUGGCCUGUGUGUACCUCUGUACCUGGGGACCAUUCAUGUUCCUUCAUGGACCAGAUCACAUCUACUGGCGUGGAGACCAGAGGCCAGAUUUAAGCUUUUCUUGCAGUCUCCGUGACAUUGGGCUGUAUGUGCCUCAUUAGAUGGGAUUCCAUCCAGUGCGUCCCAGGAACCGCCCUGCCAUCUCACUUAAGAUUCUUAGCAACCUGUCAUCCUGGGUCACAGACGCUCGUUCGCUCACUCCAUCGUGGACCAGCAGCUGUCAGCCAGUGCUGCCCACAGCUGUGUUCUCUGCCUCAUGCUGCUUUGCAGACCAUUGAAAGCAUCUCCCGCUCAGUGAGGUCUGGAUUUGAACCCAGGCCCCAUGCAUGCUAAUGGGGAGUGAAGUGCCACAGCCCAGGGUCUUCUUUUGACAGCCUAGUCCGUCCACCUUGUCCACAAGAUGUCCAGGUUAGGCCUGAGCCUAACCUGCUUCCCUUCCCCUUGCCAACUGCUCUCCAUCUAUGAAUGGUCCCCGGGAAUUAGGAAGAAUGGGGUGGGAGUGGGAUUGGCCACUCCUAGGAGUCUGGUGUUUGUUUCAUCUCCUCUAUAAAUGGUGUAAGAAAGAUGUCCCAGCAAGACGUAGUAGCACACAUCUGGGAUACUAGCACUCAAGAGGUAGAGGCAAGGGUUAUCCUGAGCUACAUAGCCUAUCCAAAACCAGUCUGGGUUACAGGAGACCCUGGUUUUAUUCAUUCAUUCAUUUAUGAUAUUCUCUUUAUCCAGUUCCAACCUAAACUAAAUAAAUUAAAAUUUCAGUUUCUCUCUCUAUGUAAUUUUUCUCUUAGAGGAAUCAUUUGGAUCCACAGCCAGGCGAAUCCUGCAGUGGCAUCUGCACUCUUGGGGCUGUGGCCUUUGCAUCCCUUAGCCCAUGCCAGUUUCCAAAGCAGGCUGUGGGUGUCUCUCAGAAUGUACAAUCAGUUUUUCCAGAGGCCUUGACAUACUCCCAUCCCCACACCGAGUCUUUGCCUGUGAUUUCUGGAAACGGUCCUGUUUCCCUUUUCUCUCAGCCUUAAGUGGAUUCUACCUUGGGUUCAGAGGAAGUUCAAGGGUUCCAAUCAGUCUUGUCAAUGUUUAUUUAGUUCCUUUUUUUUCUCCUACCCUGGGGGACCAAAUGCUGGCCUUGCACAUUCUUUAGGUUCCUUAUGGUAACUCUGGCAUGAGGCACUAGGGGCUUAAAAUGAAUGAGAGUUAGAAGCGUGGCUUUUUCGGAGGCAGCAGGGAUGGGACAAUUGUGGUGCAGAAAGGGGGCUUGGAAGGUUGGGUGUGCCAGGCUUUAAUCCUUUACAAUAAUGAUAAAAAUCCCACCCUCCCAGGGAGAAACUGUGCUCUGUGUAAUGGAGGCCUUAACUCUCUUCCCCUUAAAAAAAAAACAGUACCCAGGGGGGCUGGAGAAAUGGCUCAGUGGUUAAGACCCCUUCUUCGGAGAAAGUAGAAAUAAUGACUGAAGCCUCAAAACACAUCUAGGACCUAUAUCAGUCAGCUUACAACCUCCUGUAUCUCAGACUCCAAGGGAUCCAACACUCCCUCCUGGCUUCCAUGAAUAUGGGCACACAUGUGACAUAUACACACAUAUCUACAAACACAUAGGAAUAAAAAUAAGUCUUAAAAAUGUG